rnacentral:tRNA from 1 species
UCCCUGGUGGCCUAGUGGUUAAGGACUCAGUGUUGUCGCUGCUGUGAUUUGGGUUCAAUUCCUGGUCUGGGAA